GAGAUGUCAGUAGAUAGUCCUUAAAGCAACAACAGAAACGACUAUCUUUUAUGUUACUUCCUGAAAGUGGUUCCAACAUGAUAAGAGGCAACAUGGGCUCUCCUAACCAGACCUGUGACAGUGGUGUAUCCAUGGACCUCUUCCUGCACUAUUCUCUUAUUCCAUCGGGAAACUGGAAUGGACAUUUUGAUCAGGCAUGGGGGACGUGCUUGCCUGGCUACCAAUCCACAAUGCGCCGGCCAAACGCCACGGCCACUAUCGUUUCUUCUCCACGUUGAGACUGGCUAUGCUUCUUCCCCGACGACUUCUGGAAUGCGAACACAUUCAAACCGUUCUGAUUGGUCCCAGAAACCAAUGGGUUCGUCCAGAGCUGGCCUACACGAAUCAUGAAUCACGUCAUUUUGACGU